rnacentral:rRNA from 1 species
UGCGUAGGUGGUUUCUUAAGUCAGAGGUGAAAGGCUACGGCUCAACCGUAGUAAGCCUUUGAAACUGGGAAACUUGAGUGCAGGAGAGGAGAGUGGAAUUCCUAGUGUAGCGGUGAAAUGCGUAGAUAUUAGGAGGAACACCAGUUGCGAAGGCGGCUCUCUGGACUGUAACUGACACUGAGGCACGAAAGCGUGGGUAGCAAACA